AGGACUCAUAUUUUAAGUAGGAUACCAAUCCAGCGAAAGAGGGUUUUGUAAACCCAAGUGAAACCAUGGGUUUCGAAGCCUCCGCCUCCGGCUUUCACUGCGUACGCAGAGCACCUCCUUCUCAUCGUCUCUUUUUCUUCUUUUCGUUCUCCCUGUGACUUCAACACCUCUUUGUGCCAUUAUGAAGACUACAAUUUUGUUUCUCAUGUCUCCUGUCUCCUUUCCUCUCUCUGCCUACGAGAAGCCAUGGAUCAAAGGCUUCAAGAAUUCAAAUCAGAAUUUUCGCCUUUUCUUUACGAAAGAAUCCCAGAUUUGUGUUUUUUUUAUUUAUAAAUAUUGGUUAUGUAAUUCAUUGUCCCUUUUCUUUAUGAUGAUGGGUUCUAUAUUUUAUUUAUUUUUUCUAUCAAAGAUGAUGGGUUCUGUUUGUUUGUUCAGAAAAUUUAGUAAAUGAAAUAAGCAAUAGCAAAAAGUUUCUAA